rnacentral:rRNA from 1 species
UACAGAGGGUGCGAGCGUUAAUCGGAAUUAUUGGGCGUAAAGGGUGCGUAGGUGGUUUGAUAAGUUAGGUGUGAAAUACCCGGGCUCAACCUGGGUGCUGCAUUUAAUACUGUUGAGCUGGAGUAUGGGAGAGGCAAGUGGAAUUUCCGGUGUAGCGGUGAAAUGCGUAGAUAUCGGAAGGAACAUCGGUGGCGAAGGCGGCUUGCUGGACUGAUACUGACACUGAGGCACGAGAGCAUGGGGAGCAAACAGG